GAAUUCGAUUGUUUUGCUCGCGCGAAACCGGAGUGACGUCGGGAAGAGGUCAAAUGACCUAACGGAGUAUGGUGUGGAUCGGGCCCUCGACGACGACAGCACUUGCUUUUGCUUUUGAUCGGGUUUUCUUGGCUAUGUGGGUGUUCCAAUGUUGAUUCAUUUUUGUUUAAAAGACAACCGCAAUGCAGUUUACAAACAAACAUCACUGCGAUCCUUGACAAAGUUGGAGACUGCUUGGCAGAGGUAUGGAUAGAUGCGGUAAUAUUCUUCAAUGAUGGUGGUUGCGAGGUUCUGGUUGUAGUGUUCUACAUCUUCAAAACUCACUUCAAUGGUGCUUCUUUCCUGGAUGAGGAGCUCCUUUGCUGGUUCAAGGCCGUACAGCAUGUUCCAAAUCAGAUCUGGACACGAACACUCCAUCUGCUUCUUUUGCGAUGUCUUUAAUGUUCUUAACGCCGGG